rnacentral:misc_RNA from 1 species
UCGUAACAAGGUUUCCGUAGGUGAACCUGCGGAAGGAUCAUUAAAGAUUAUGAAUGAAUAGAUUACUGGGGGAAUCGUCUGAACAAGGCCUGCGCUUAAUUGCGCGGCCAGUUCUUGAUUCUCUGCUAUCAGUUUUCUAUUUCUCAUCCUAAACACAAUGGAGUUUUUUCUCUAUGAACUACUUCCCUGGAGAGCUCGUCUCUCCAGUGGACAUAAACACAAACAAUAUUUUGUAUUAUGAAAAACUAUUAUACUAUAAAAUUUAAUAUUCAAAACUUUCAACAACGGAUCUCUUGGUUCUCGCAUCGAUGAAGAACGCAGCGAAUUGCGAUAUGUAUUGUGAAUUGCAGAUUUUCGUGAAUCAUCAAAUCUUUGAACGCACAUUGCGCCCUCUGGUAUUCCAGGGGGCAUGCCUGUUUGAGCGUCAUUUCUCUCUCAAACCUUUGGGUUUGGUAGUGAGUGAUACUCGUCUCGGGUUAACUUGAAAGUGGCUAGCCGUUGCCAUCUGCGUGAGCAGGGCUGCGUGUCAAGUCUAUGGACUCGACUCUUGCACAUCUACGUCUUAGGUUUGCGCCAAUUCGUGGUAAGCUUGGGUCAUAGAGACUCAUAGGUGUUAUAAAGACUCGCUGGUGUUUGUCUCCUUGAGGCAUACGGCUUUAACCAAAACUCUCAAAGUUUGACCUCAAAUCAGGUAGGAGUACCCGCUGAACCUAAGCAUAUCA